GUUCCUUCAAAACCAGGCUCAAAGUGGAAGGACUUCAAAAUCAGGUCAUGUUGCUGAAGACAUGUACCAUUGGCAAGCAACAAUCAUGGGUCCUCCAGACAGGCUGUACGUAGAGGGAGUCUUUUUAGUGGCGACUUGCGAUUCACUUUUCUCCAGAUUAUCCAUUUAAACCCCCAAAGGUAACUGUUCAAACCCAUGCAUAUCAAAUAAGAAGGAAAAGGUAAUAUAGUACCGUGUGCUCUAUGUAACCAUUCUUCUUGUCUAAGGGACCGAAUUAUGAAAUACAAGGUUUUGGCAUAAUCAAGUCAGGUAAGUUAUUUAUUUAUCCUAUGCACGAUGUGCAUCAAUGUAUCAGACAUGUAGAAUGCAUAUGCCAUUUCCGAGGCAGGUUAUGUUGUUAUAACUAUUCAGUUGGGAAAGAUUAGGACUGUUCAGUUGGACUACACUGAUGAGAAAGAGAACCUCCUGCAAGCUUCUUGCAAAGCUCUUGUUAGUUCGAUUACUAUUCAGGGAAAUUCCAGACAGAACUGUCUUCAUCCAGAAAGGCAUUAAAACAGUUUUGAGGCCAUACUUUGAGCUUGCAAAUGUGACUCUUGAAACUUGCACUAAAUGAUUGCCUAGUUCUUUUGCUCACCACGUUGGUUAAACACCUGCAGACCUGCUUGCUUUUUUCUCUGUAUCUUUUUUGUUUUGUAAAUAUGUUUGUUUUCUGUGACAUACAUUUCCACUUGUAAAUUAAGUCACUUGACUCGGUUAGGUGGGUGCUGCCAGUAUUGGUGAUUUAGAGUUGUGUGGUAAUGUUGCGGAUAAAUUUGCAAGUACUGCCAGCUCAAACAGGACUCCCAAUCUAAUUGUGGGGUUGCGAAAUAAUGUCAUCAGGACAGGGCUUCACAUUAAGCAUCUCUUAUUCUCACAUUUCACUUGUUGAUGCUGCUCAUGAGCUGAGGUUGGACUCACCCGAACCCUAUGGCGGAUGCUGAGAACAUUGUAGCCAAGGAAAUCCGAGAUGUUGCCAUCGAUGUAACUUUGGACCAUGCAAAUGGGUGGAUGGUAUCAAGGAGACUGGUAAUGUUUACUCCAAACAUGACGUCAAUCUGCUUUCAACUCGAGGAUUGCCUUCUGUCUCAAUACAUGCAUACUGAGGCUGUGCGCACAGUGUUCCUCUUCAAAUUCACACAAGGAGGAAAAGGAAAGUGCAGAAAAGAGGAGCGAGAGACAACAACAGGAUACAGAGAUUCUGAAGCGUAUUGCCGAGGGUGACGAUGAGUUUUAAUUCUCACCUGCCAGUUUUUAUUGCCGAGGAGUGUGACGAUGAGUUCUAAUUCUCACCUGCCAGCUUUUCUCAAGUUAAUAGUUAUCACGGACACGAUACCAUUCCCUGUAUUUGUAAAAACUGUUCUUGGUAGAUUUAAAAGGAAGAUAAUAAACAACAUGGUUACCAAAUAAUUUUUCAUAUAAAUCAUUUUUUUUAGGUAAUAGAUUAUUCUGUAAA